GUGAAUUUUAAUUGCUGUUUUUAAAAGAGAUUUUUGACUUUUCUGUUCUUUUACAGAACACUAUUGCACACAAAAUGCUCUUACUCAGCAGAUGGGGACAGCUACCAUCACCCAAUUUUCUUUUGCACAAGCUGUGCAAAAGUGGCUGCGCUAUGCGCCAGACCGGGCAGGAGGGACUGGACGACAACUUAUGCAGGCAUCAGAUGACAAUGAAGUGUAAAUAAAGAGCAGAGAGGCUAAUAAACAUGAAUUUGAUUUUAAA